rnacentral:rRNA from 1 species
UACAGAGGUCCCGAGCGUUGUUCGGAUUCACUGGGCGUAAAGGGUGCGUAGGUGGCCUGAAAAGUUUGAUGUGAAAGCUCAGGGCUUAACCCUGAAAUGGCAUUGAAUACUGUUGGGCUGGAGGUUUGGAGGGGGGACUGGAAUUCUUGGUGUAGCAGUGAAAUGCGUAGAUAUCAAGAGGAACACCAGUGGCGAAGGCGAGUCCCUGGACAACACCUGACACUGAGGCACGAAAGCUAAGGGAGCAAACAGG